rnacentral:rRNA from 1 species
UACGUAGGGUGCAAGCGUUGUCCGGAAUUAUUGGGCGUAAAGAGCGUGUAGGCGGCCCCGUUAGUCCGCUGUGAAAGUCGGGGGCUCAACCCUCGGAUGCCGGUGGAUACUGUCGGGCUCGAGUACGGAAGAGGCGAGUGGAAUUCCAGGUGUAGUGGUGAAAUACGUAGAUAUCUGGAGGAAUACCGGUGGCGAAGGCGGUUAUCUGGCCCAACAUUGACACUGAGACCCGAAAGCGUGGGGAUCAAACAGG